GUAAAAUGCAUAUUUGUACCGCAGACAGCAGGGGCGCGAGCCGCUUAAUUUAUCCCUGCCGAGGACAUGAUGAAUUCAGUACCCAUCUUUUUGAUGCUGAACUUAUGCCUCUGUGUCUGUAAAGACCAGAGGCUUUUCUUAUGGACGA
rnacentral:sRNA from 1 species